rnacentral:misc_RNA from 1 species
GACGGCUCGUGCUCCCAUGCUUUAUCGUCGGUAAAAUCGCCGUUGUACGAUGCGGCUGCGACUCAUCGACAAGCGAAGGUGAUUUGGUGUGGCUGGGUGUUUUGGCGCGAUUUUUUUCCUCACCACACGGGGAGGAAGGCAUCCGCGGCGCCGUCAUUUGUGCUGGAUGCGGCGGGGAUGCAGGAACUUCUAGAUGCGGCGGCGGCGCGGAAGCAGACUGGCGAUGCAGCACCGUCGGUGGCUAAGAGGACCGGCAUGGGGAAGGCGGCAGCAGCAGGGUCGACACGCUUGCAACGUGCUAUGGAGGCGGACUUUCAAGGAGCAGGCACAGCGGAGGGCCGCCAGCGGCCAGGCACAG